UUGUGCCUACGGGGCGCAGCAGUAGGGAAUCUUCCACAAUGGGCGCAAGCCUGAUGGAGCAACACCGCGUGAGUGAAGAAAGGUUUCGGCUCGUAAAACUCUGUUGUUUGAGAAGAACGUGCGUGAGAGCAACUGUUCACGCAGUGACGGUAUCCAACCAGAAAGUCACGGCUAACUACGUGCCAGCAGCCGCGGUAAUACGUAGGUGGCCAGCGUUAUCCGGAUUUAUUGGGCGUAA
rnacentral:rRNA from 1 species